AUGACACUAUUCUUGGGUGAUUGUGUAAACAGCAUCAUGUGCGUUCCUGACUAAAAUCGGAAAUGACACUAUUCUUGGGUGAUUGUGUAAACAGCAUCAUGUGCGUUCCUGACUAAAAUUGUGACAGUUAGGGGGUGCUAGAACUGGUAGCCCUUUAGGGCCCUGGGGAGGCUAUAAAUAAGAGUGGAAACCCUGCGGCCUUCCCCUUUUCCCCAAAGCCUGACUUGGAGUGUUUGGUGAGCAGACCUGCUAGCUACUGGUGUGAACCAAAAACCCAAUACCCUGGUAGAAGAGUGGAGUUUUGUGCUCACACACCUGAUAUCGUGUUUGAGCUUUAAAACUCUGGUUGUAGACCUGAAGUGCACUGUGAGAUUGGUGACCAGGAGUAGCGGUUUCAGGGAUAGCUGUUGGGAUGUCGCAUGACUGCAGUUGUGUGUCCCCGAGUAUGCAAGAAUCCAGGAGAGUAGAGUGAAGUGAGUUUAACAGUACCUGAUAGUCGGAGGUGUGUGUCCACGGGUGUCUUGACGCCAGUGUCUCAGGGAAGUCGACGGCAGCUUUAUGGACGGCGCAAGCUCAGCUGAUCUCCGGUUCUUCCUCCCGUUCUCCUUGAUGGUUUCGUGCCCGGCGGGGACCAGUUUGGCUUCGCCCCGGAAAGUGGACGCCUCCUCCCGCAUCCACCUGAGCAAACCCUCGGGGGUCUUCCGGCCGAUUUUCGCCUCUAUGUCUCUCAGGUCCGGCGAGUUCUCACAAGCAGCGCCAGCUUCGUCCAUCAUGGUCAUGGGCUGAUAACAACACAGAAGGAUUUUCCCCGGUGUUUUUUUAUUUUUCUUCUAAAAUGUUAUUUAUUCCUGGCGCCGUGACGUGUGUCGUCACAUGGCAGCCCAGCUGAGGCGGACUGCACCAGCCCGGAAAAAAACAACAGUCAGCAUCCAACAACGCAGCAAGAUAUAACGGAACAAGAA